GAUGAACGCUAGCGGCAGGCUUAAUACAUGCAAGUCGAGGGGCAGCAGGCCUGUAGCAAUACAGGUGCUGGCGACCGGCAAACGGGUGCGGAACACGUACAGAACCUUCCUUCAAGUGGGAGAUAGCCCAGGGAAACUUGGAUUAAUACCCCGUAACAUAGCGAUGUGGCAUCACAUUGCUAUUAUAGAUUUUUCGCUUGUUGAUGGGUGUGCGGCUGAUUAGAUAGUUGGCGGGGUAACGGCCCACCAAGUCUACGAUCAGUAGCUGAUGUGAGAGCAUGAUCAGCCACACGGGCACUGAGACACGGGCCCGACUCCUACGGGAGGCAGCAGUAAGGAAUAUUGGACAAUGGACGCAAGUCUGAUCCAGCCAUGCCGCGUGAAGGAUUAAGGUCCUCUGGAUUGUAAACUUCUUUUAUAAGGGACGAAAAAAGGCUUUUCUAAGUCGUCUGACGGUACCUUAUGAAUAAGCACCGGCUAACUCCGUGCCAGCCGCCGCAGUAAAAC
rnacentral:rRNA from 1 species